GAGUUUGAUCAUGGCUCAGAAUGAACGCUGGCGGCAUGCCUAACACAUGCAAGUCGAACGAGACCUUCGGGUCUAGUGGCGCACGGGUGCGUAACGCGUGGGAAUCUGCCCUUGGGUUCGGAAUAACAGCGAGAAAUUGCUGCUAAUACCGGAUGAUGACGUAAGUCCAAAGAUUUAUCGCCCAAGGAUGAGCCCGCGUAGGAUUAGCUAGUUGGUGAGGUAAAGGCUCACCAAGGCGACGAUCCUUAGCUGGUCUGAGAGGAUGAUCAGCCACACUGGGACUGAGACACGGCCCAGACUCCUACGGGAGGCAGCAGUGGGGAAUAUUGGACAAUGGGCGAAAGCCUGAUCCAGCAAUGCCGCGUGAGUGAUGAAGGCCUUAGGGUUGUAAAGCUCUUUUACCCGGGAUGAUAGUGACAGUACCGGGAGAAUAAGCUCCGGCUAACUCCGUGCCAGCAGCCGCGGUAAUACGGAGGGAGCUAGCGUUAUUCGGAAUUACUGGGCGUAAAGCGCACGUAGGCGGCUUUGUAAGUUAGAGGUGAAAGCCUGGAGCUCAACUCCAGAAUUGCCUUUAAGACUGCAUCGCUUGAAUCCAGGAGAGGUGAGUGGAAUUCCGAGUGU
rnacentral:rRNA from 1 species